UAAGGGGUCCAUGCACCUGGGCUAUGAGGCUGGAAGCAGAAAGGGGGCGCCAGAAAGCACGCGCCGCGAGGGCCGGCGGGAAAUGUAGUCUCACGCCGGUAAAGCCACAGAGCGACGAUGAGGCGAGACGUCUGCGUUCUUCUCAGGCCUGAGACCUAACCGGCCAGGGUACCACCUCCUGCUGGACCCCAGAGCGCCUGGAAAGCUCCGGAACCUCUCACCUGCAGCCUCCUCGGGUCCAAGUGCCACCGUGGCCGCGCCCCCGGCAGCCCACGGCGCGCUUCCACCACGGCACCGGUGGAUUCGCCGUGCGCAGCCGGAAGAUGGCGCAGACGCACAAAGCACACCGAUGCUGCGCCAUGAUAGGGCCGGCGCCGCAGUGUCUUCCGGGAAACAUAGUCUCUAGGCAUAAAGGCAGCAGCCCGGCCUUGAAGGCGGAUCUCGCGAUGUUUCAGGGUGAGCUGGACGCAGGCGUGCCUGCGCAGUGCGCGUAGGAGUGCUGUUCGUGUGUUCGAGUCCCUGGGUUGCUUCCUGGGGUCUGUGGUGCUGGGUGUGCUAUCUGCGUGUGAUUCUCUAGCGAGAGAUUGUGGGCGAGUGACCGAGUGGGCAAGGGGCCGUCACUGUGUGUGCGUGAUUGUGACGGUGUGUGGUGGUAGCUUCUGACUCCGCGUGGGUCGUUGAAUGUGUGACUGGGCCCGUUUAGCGGUGGAUACACAACUGUGUGCGGCUGUGGAAGAUUGCCUCAUCCGUUACGUUCCCAUUUCCGUGGAACAACAGUUUUACCAGAAGGUUUCGAAGGAACCUUAAAGUUUGGAAGCGUAAGAGUUUAUCCGCGGCUUUGGUGUCAUCAAGUGUGAGAAGCCCUGGACUUUACACUUCCCGAGCCAGUGUGAUCCAGUAUGAUUGGGAGUCCGAGUGCCAGAUGCCGGUCAGGACCUGUUAUGCUGGGUCUCAGAAUGCGGAAACUCUCCCUGUCCGAGGUGGAACAGUUUGUCCUUGAGUGAGGACUGGAGUCCUGAGUGACUCUUUUGAUUUGAUCCUGUUUCCCUCAAACCUGGAUGGGAGCCUCACUGUAUUGCCCAGGCUGGUCUUGAACUCCUGAGCUCAAGUGAUCGUCUUGCUUCAGUCUUCCAAAAUGAUGGUGAAGCUGCAUCAUUGUCUGGGGUAAAUACCUGAGGUUCGUUGUCUCACGCCAAGGGAAUCAAGGACAUGGACACACAAGAAUGGGGUCCCUGUCUGACCGGGCCAUGUUGUAUGUUCCUUACUGUACACGUGGUUGACAAAGAAAAGGGAAGAUGGAGCUGCGAUGCUGGACAUGCCUGGCCCCCAGACAUACAGCCCUGCCGAGCAAAUAAUGAACAUAACUCACAAACUUCCUGCUUAUCAUCAAACGCACGCAUCCGCUUAUCAUCAAACACCUUGGGUGACAGAAGAAUGCAGGUUAGCUCCCUGCUGCCUUAGCAUUAUCAGCCCAGGAACCAUCCUAUAAAAUCUCCAGCAAGCCUUUGUUUCCUUGCAGUCAGCUCCUCUUCCACUGAUUCUGCCUGUUGCUCCCUGAUAACAUACUUUGAUACUGUCUUUAAUAAAUCUGCCUUUCCUCACCCACAGCUGUCUUGGUAAGUUCUUUUGCCUCUGUGCCACCAGCCCAAAUAGUUGCUGCUCACCUGAGACAAAGAAUAAAUGUGGUUUUUAAGCAAAUCAAAGUUUACUUAGUGACUCUUACCAAGCUUUGUAGAAGGUUGUGCCAAAAGGAGAAGCUUAAGAGAUAAUGGCUAAAAAUAAAAAAUGUUACCACCGCCCAAGGGGUUCUUCCUGCCCCCUGCAUAAAGAAA
rnacentral:lncRNA from 1 species